AGCACGUUUCUUGUUGGUGGAGAAUAUUUUAUUUUGUUGUUAGUAAAAUGAAUAUUUUUCUACAAAUCAGGACAUUGCCGGUGACAAUGAAGGUGAUGCUGGGUUGGAGCAGCCAAAAUCAGCGGCUGAAGAGAAGUCAGAGAUGUGCAGGAAGGCAAUCGAAAGAUUGAGAUCUGAAACCGGUAGAGCGCAGACGCCGCAACGAGUAGAAAUGAUCUCUGAGUUAUCAUCGCUUGUGAUUACGUCAUGCCCCGACAUUCCACAGGAAAACGCCUUCAAGAGCACAGCACUAGACGUUCUGCAGUCCAUCACCAGCAAACUGGGCAAACUGGACAUGUCUGACACGUCCACUGUGGAGGCUGUGGGAG